rnacentral:rRNA from 1 species
AAGCCCGGGGCUCAACCUCGGAACCGCAUUUGAAACUGGCAGGCUAGAGUCUUGUAGAGGGGGGUAGAAUUUCAGGUGUAGCGGUGAAAUGCGUAGAGAUCUGAAGGAAUACCAGUGGCGAAGGCGGCCCCCUGGACAAAGACUGACGCUCAGAUGCGAAAGCGUGGGUAGCAAACAGGAUUAGAUACCCUGGUAGUCCACGCCGUUAACGCUGUCUACUUGGAGGUUGAGGUUUAAGACUUUGGCUUUCAGCGCUAACGCAUUAACGAGACCGCCUGGGGAGUACGGCCGCAAGGUUAAAACUCAAAUGAAUUGACGGGGGCCCGCACAAGCGGUGGAGCAUGUGGUUUAAUUCGAUGCAACGCGAAGAACCUUACCUACUCUUGACAUCCAGCGAAGCCUUUAGAGAUAGAGGCGUGCCUUCGGGAGCGCUGAGACAGGUGCUGCAUGGCUGUCGUCAGCUCGUGUUGUGAAAUGUUGGGUUAAGUCCCGCAACGAGCGCAACCCUUAUCCUUGUUUGCCAGCACGUAAUGGUGGGAACUCCAGGGAGACUGCCGGUGAUAAACCGGAGGAAGGUGGGGACGACGUCAAGUCAUCAUGGCCCUUACGAGUAGGGCUACACACGUGCUACAAUGGCAGAUACAGAGGGCAGCGAAGCUGCGAAGUGGAGCGAAUCCCUUAAAGUUUGUCGUAGUCCGGAUUGGAGUCUGCAACUCGACUCCAUGA